AUUGAACGCUGGCGGCAGGCCUAACACAUGCAAGUCGAACGAGUGGCGGACGGGUGAGUAAUGUCUGUGAAACUGCCUGAUGGCGGGGGAUAACUACUGGAAAGGGUAGCUAAUACCGCAUACCAUCAGCUGUGCCCAGAUGGGAUUAGCUUGUUGGUGGGGUAACGGCUCACCAAGGCGACGAUCCCUAGCUGGUCUGAGAGGAUGAAAAGCCACACGGUAACUGAGACACUGUCCAUGCUCCUACGGGAGGCAGAAGUGGGGAAUAUGGCACAAUGGGCGCAUGCCUGAUGCAGCCAGGCCGCGUGUAUGAAGCAGGCCAUCGGGUUGUAAAGUACUUUCAGCGGGGAGGCGUUACCCGCAGAAGAAGCACCGGCUAACUCCGUGCCAGCAGCCGCGGUAAUAC
rnacentral:rRNA from 1 species